UACGUAGGCCCCAAGCGUUAUCCGGAAUUACUGGGCGUAAAGGGCGCGUAGGCGGAUGUCUAAGUCAGAGGUAAAAGCCCAGGGCUCAACCUUGGAACUGCCUUUGAUACUGGACAUCUUGAGUACGGGAGAGGUGAGUGGAACUCCGAGUGUAGAGGUGAAAUUCGUAGAUAUUCGGAAGAACACCAGUGGCGAAGGCGACUCACUGGCCCGUUACUGACGCUGAGGCGCGAAAGCGUGGGGAGCAAACAGG
rnacentral:rRNA from 1 species